rnacentral:rRNA from 1 species
UUGGAGGGCAAGUCUGGUGCCAGCAGCCGCGGUAAUUCCAGCUCCAAUAGCGUAUAUUAAAGUUGUUGCAGUUAAAAAGCUCGUAGUUGAAUUUCGGGAUCAAUACGUCGGUCGUGCCUCGGUACGUACUGGCGUUACUGGUUCCUACCUUCUGAGGAACUGUCAUGUCAUUAAUUUGGUGUGGUGGGAAAUCAGGACUGUUACUUUGAAAAAAUUAGAGUGUUUAAAGCAGGCUCGCGCUUGAAUACAUUAGCAUGGAAUAAUGAAAUAGGACGUUCGAUCCUAUUUUGUUGGUUUCUAGGAUUGACGUAAUGAUUAAUAGGGAUAGUUGGGGGCAUUAGUAUUCAAUUGUCAGAGGUGAAAUUCUUGGAUUUAUUGAAGACUAACUACUGCGAAAGCAUUUGCCAAGGAUGUUUUCAUUAAUCAAGAACGAAAGUUAGGGGAUCGAAGACGAUCAGAUACCGUCGUAGUCUUAACCAUAAACUAUGCCGACUAGGGAUCGGACGAUGUUAAUUUUAUAAUGACUCGUUCGGCGCCUUACGGGAAAC